rnacentral:rRNA from 1 species
UACGAAGGGGGCUAGCGUUGCUCGGAAUCACUGGGCGUAAAGCGCACGUAGGCGGCUUUCUAAGUCAGGGGUGAAAUCCUGGAGCUCAACUCCAGAACUGCCUUUGAUACUGGAAAGCUUGAGUUCGAGAGAGGUGAGUGGAACUGCGAGUGUAGAGGUGAAAUUCGUAGAUAUUCGCAAGAACACCAGUGGCGAAGGCGGCUCACUGGCUCGAUACUGACGCUGAGGUGCGGAAGCGUGGGGAGCAAACAGG